CUUUCUCAGAGGGGUUUCAUAAAAUUUAAGAUUAUAGAAACCAACACAACAUUAGGUCAUGAACUUUCAAACAAUUGUACUUUACCUCAGACUUGCUUCUGUCUAAUGGACAAUUCAUGGUAACAGAAUGAGAAAGGCCUAUCAUAAAAUAACCAAAUGUAGCUAUGUCCUGACCUCAAGGCAAUCUUCAGUCCCACUGAGGAAAACAAUUACCCUUCAUUGUAAUAAGUUUCACUGCCCUGAAAUAUUACUAGCAUUUUUUUAACGACUGUGACAAUUUCCCCCCAUCGGACCACCACAUACCAUGUGGAGGAAAUCAACUUCUGUGCUACAGACAAGAUCAUUAAGGAGUCAAUUUUUCAGUAUUUACGUAUAACCAAAGCACGGGAUCUUUUAUGCCAACCCCCUGAUCACACCAAUAUUAACACACCAACAACAAAAUAACCAUAAAAUGGGAGAGAUUGUGGAAGUGGAGGAGUAACCCUGAAGAUAUUUCACAUACUAACUGUAAAUGUAUUUCAACAGAAAUAACUCUCACUGCUACAUCAGAAGUCACACACGGUGGUGCUGGGUAUUGUUCGGGUUACCUGCUCUGUUAUCUGCAGUUUGGAACAGUCUUACAUUUUGAACACUCUGUAAAAAGUUCUGUGAAACUUCAAACACCAUAGGGAUAUCUAUUAUCUACAGACCAUCUGUUUUAAAUAAAAUUCUUACUAGAA